ACGUCCCAAGGAGGAGGAGAGUCCCCAGCGCCGAGGGAGCCCGGCGCUGGGGACUCUCCUCCUCCUU